UACGAAGGGGGCUAGCGUUGCUCGGAAUCACUGGGCGUAAAGGGUGCGUAGGCGGGUCUUUAAGUCAGGGGUGAAAUCCUGGAGCUCAACUCCAGAACUGCCUUUGAUACUGAAGAUCUUGAGUCCGGGAGAGGUGAGUGGAACUGCGAGUGUAGAGGUGAAAUUCGUAGAUAUUCGCAAGAACACCAGUGGCGAAGGCGGCUCACUGGCCCGGUACUGACGCUGAGGCACGAAAGCGUGGGGGAGCAAACAGGAUUAGA
rnacentral:rRNA from 1 species